rnacentral:rRNA from 1 species
UACGUAGGGUGCGAGCGUUGUCCGGAAUUAUUGGGCGUAAAGGGCUCGUAGGCGGUUUGUCGCGUCGGGAGUGAAAACCUUGGGCUUAACUCAGGGCUUGCUUUCGAUACGGGCAGACUAGAGGUAUGCAGGGGAGACUGGAAUUCCUGGUGUAGCGGUGAAAUGCGCAGAUAUCAGGAGGAACACCGAUGGCGAAGGCAGGUCUCUGGGCCGAUACUGACGCUGAGGAGCGAAAGCGUGGGGAGCGAACAGG